GGGGGUGUAACGGCUUCGACGGGGGAGCGAGGUAAAGGAAAAGCAUGCAGAAGCGCCCGCUUCUUAAAAAGGGCAAAAUUAAAUUAAACGCUAACAGAAAUACUGUUGCAUUUGCCGCUUAAUUAGCGGCUUCGUCGCACCGCGGGACUCACGACGGCGGCUGCGGCGUCAAGACUGUGAGGAACAUUCGGUAAGUACCGUCCUGUAUUUAUCGGAGGACUUUUUGGGCUCGGGUUAAGAAAGCUUGCCGCGCGGACUUCCUUGACCGACACCGAUCACCGGCUAAGCAUGUAGAAAGCCUUUAUUAACUCUUUCGGACCAGGGUUCGACUCCCUGCACCUCCACCA
rnacentral:tmRNA from 1 species